GAUGAAGAACGUAGCGAAAUGCGAUACUUGGUGUGAAUUGCAGAAUCCCGUGAACCAUCGAGUCUUUGAACGCAAGUUGCGCCUCAAGCCAUUAGGUUGAGGGCACGUCUGCCUGGGCGUCACAUAUCGUUGCCUGAUGCCAGUUUCCUCGUGAUGGGUGACUGUGCAGGGCGAAUGAUGGCUUCCCGUGAGCAUUGUUGCCUCAUGGUUGGUUGAAAAUUGAGUCCUUGGUAGGGAGCGCCGUGAUAGAUGGUGGUUGAGUGACGAACGAGACCCAAUCAUGUGAGACCCCUACCGAAUUUGGCCUUCAUGACCCACAUGCGUCUUUGGAACGCUCAUGACGAGCCCUCAGGUCAGGCGGGGCUACCCGCUGAGUUUAAGCAUAUCAAUAAGCGGAGGA
rnacentral:misc_RNA from 1 species